GCUCCCAACACCACAGUAGUCACCUUAUCCAUGUCAACGAUGCAGCCGAGUCCGCCUUCAUUAAGGACGCACUUCGCUACCACGACCCGCAUGAAGCUUGGGUUGGACUGACAGACAGCGAUAUUGAGAGCAUUUGGAAAUGGAUAGAUGACGAUUCUGUUGCUCAAUAUACCGACUGGAGCAGUGGCGAACCCAAUGAUGCGGGCGGAGAAGACUGUGCUAUUUUUAGGGCGGAUCACAAUUAUCAAUGGAAUGACGUCCCCUGCGAUAAUCAACACUUGUUUUUGCCCGUUUGCGAAUUGCAAUCCGAAGAGACAAUAGUUGGCUAAGUGAAGUAACCGCGGUGGAGGCUAUAGAACGUUAUGUAUUUGAUACGUACUAUGUAAAGAAACGAAAACAAACAUGUA